GUAGGUGGCAAGCGUUGUCCGGAAUUAUUGGGCGUAAAGCGCGCGCAGGCGGUCCUUUAAGUCUGAUGUGAAAGCCCACGGCUCAACCGUGGAGGGUCAUUGGAAACUGGGGGACUUGAGUACAGAAGAGGAAAGCGGAAUUCCAAGUGUAGCGGUGAAAUGCGUAGAGAUUUGGAGGAACACCAGUGGCGAAGGCGGCUUUCUGGUCUGUAACUGACGCUGAGGCGCGAAAGCGUGGGGAGCAAACAGGGAUUAGAUACCCUGGUAGUCCACGCCGUAAACGAUGAGUGCUAAGUGUUAGGGGGUUCCGCCCCCUUAGUGCUGCAGCUAACGCAUUAAGCACUCCGCCUGGGGAUACGGCCGCAAGGCUG
rnacentral:rRNA from 1 species